UCAUCGAUAGCGCAGUAGGCAGCGCGCGAGUCUCAUAAUUUCGAGGUCGUGAGUUCGAACCUCACUCGCUAAG
rfam:Daphnia magna strain Xinb3 contig00128, whole genome shotgun sequence.